rnacentral:rRNA from 1 species
UACGUAGGGGGCAAGCGUUAUCCGGAAUUAUUGGGCGUAAAGCGCGUGUAGGCGGCUUUGCAAGUCGCGUGUGAAAGCCCCCGGCUCAACUGGGGAGGGUCACGCGAUACUGAUCGACUGGAAGGCAGGAGAGGGUAGUGGAAUUCCCGGUGUAGUGGUGAAAUGCGUAGAUAUCGGGAGGAACACCAGUGGCGAAGGCGACUACCUGGCCUGUUCUUGACGCUGAGGCGCGAAAGCUAGGGGAGCAAACGGG